rnacentral:rRNA from 1 species
AAAUGAAUAGACGGGGGCCCGCACAAGCAGCGGAGCGUGUGGUUUAAUUCGAGGCUACACGAAGAACCUUACCUGGACUUGACAUAACGGUAGUAGAACCUGGAAACAGGGACGACCUUCGGGAGCCGUUACUGGUGCUGCAUGGCUGUCGUCAGCUCGUGCCGUGAGGUGUUAGGUUAAGUCCUGUAACGAGCGCAACCCCCGGUGCCAGUUAAAUCGUCUGGCGCGACUGCCCGUGACAAACGGGAGGAAGGCGGGGAUGACGUCAAGUCAGCAUGGCCUGUAUGUCCAGGGCUACACACACGCUACAAUGGUCGAUACAACAGGUUGCCAACCCGUAAGGGGGAGCCAAUCCCAUCAAAGUCGGCCUCAGUUCAGAUUGUGGGCUGCAACCCGCCCACAUGAAGUCGGAGUUGCUAGUAACCGCGCGUCAGCCAUAGUGCGGUGAAUACGUUCCCGGGCCUUGUACACACCGCCCGU